UCAGUAUUUUCCAUAAUGUUGUGGUAGAUAAAAGGGCAACACUGAUUAGUAGACUCACGAAAGAAAACAGAUAGUUAUUGGGAAAAAGAACUAUCAGCCAUGAGUAAAUUCUACUUUCCCAUAGGUAAAAGUAAUUCCUAAAGAGUGUAUCUCCACAAAGAUGUUCUUAUGAACAAAUGAAUAGCAAGAAAUCUCUUUAAAUGCUUUCAAACUAAAAUUGCACAUAAGACCAUGAUUACACAAAGAGCUGCAGACCAAAAAUAAAAGCAAAGGCUGACCCCUACACUUUCAGCUAAAAUAUCACAAGAAAAUAGCAGUUAUACAAUAAAAGCCUAGUUAUACACUUACUCAAGAGGAUCUUUGACCACUUUCUCCUUUGACUCUUCAGGAACAGUGGGGCUUGAAACCUCCUACAGAAAAAGGAACAAAAAUUGAGCAAGAAAAAAAGAGAGCAACUUAGGUUAAGCCGUAAGAAAAUGAAGGAGGCAGUAAGGUAAGGGAGAGGGACCUGAUGUUGUGGAGGGGGAGGAGAGUGAGCAGCGGAGGAUAUAGGGGAGUUUGUAACUGAAUUUGAAGCUGAAGUUGCCAUUUAUCCAAUGACAGUAUCUUCUUGCAAAUCUUGACUGGGCCAAUUUUCAAACCGUAGCUAUGGUUGAAUCCCGCAGUGGUUAAUUGAUAUUUACUGGCAUUCGGCGUCAGUUACAAGAAACGUUGAUUAACGAACCUACCACUUCGGAGUUGAUGAUAUAUACGGCCUAAUUGAAUUUGAACAUGAAAAGAAGGGUAAUGGGAGGUAAGGAUCAGGCACUGUAAGCAUUAAAUAGAGCUUUGAGUUGUUGGAUUCAGACUUGUAAAGCUAAUAACAAGUAGUAUAUAGGGGAAAACAAGUGAAAUAAAUUGAAGAGGAAAGCAUGCAGAGCGAAAGAGAGAGAAUUUGAUAUAAAGUAGAACAGAGGGGAUAAUCCGCAUGUAUUAGCGGAGAGAACGAGCCGCUACUGAAAGUAGAGAGAAACAGGUGAAAGGUAAAGGGAAGUAAUGAUUCAGGGGGCGGAACUAGUAAGUAGUAAUACUAACUGGGUUUAAC
rnacentral:lncRNA from 1 species